rnacentral:misc_RNA from 1 species
GCCAGGUCUAGGGUAGAGGAAUUUGAUGUGGUACCCAGAGGUUCUAGGGAGGUAACUCUAGUCCCAAACUUCUCAGGGCAGAGCUAAGGUAAGCCAUGCCAGCAGUGAGGAAAGAUACCAGAUGUGAAAUGUGUUAGUGAUAAUUUUAUUGAAAAAUAGGGGAAGGUUCAAAGGAAAAAACAAAGAUCGCAUUCUGAAGUGAAAACAGGAGAAAAACAAGAAGUUGGAGGCAAGUUUUAGUAAGUAGUAAGAGGAGCUAUACUCAACUCAACUCAACUAAUCCUCUAUCCCAAAAAUUUGGGGACAACUACAUGGAUUCGCUUUCUCCACUUUAAACGAUUUUG